AUUGAACGCUGGCGGCAGGCCUAACACAUGCAAGUCGAACGAGUGGCGGACGGGUGAGUAAUGUCUGGGAAACUGCCCGAUGGAGGGGGAUAACUACUGGAAACGGUAGCUAAUACCGCAUACAAUCAGAUGAGCCUAGGUCGGAUUAUCUCGUUGGUGGGGUAACGGCCUACCAAGGCGACGAUCCGUAACUGGUCUGAGAGGAUGAUCAGUCACAUCGGCACUGAGACACGGUCCAGACUCCUACGGGGGGCAGCAGUGGGGAAUAUUGGAAAAUGGGCGAAAGCCUGCUCCAGCCAUGCCGCGUGUGUGAAGAAGUUCUUCGGAUUGUAAAGCACUUUAAGUUGGGAGGCGUUACCAACAGAAUAAGCACCGGCUAACUUCGUGCCAGCAGCCGCGGUAAUAC
rnacentral:rRNA from 1 species